rnacentral:rRNA from 3 species
UUGACCUCGAAUCAGGUAGGGAUACCCGCUGAA